UACGUAGGGGGCAAGCGUUGUCCGGAAUCAUUGGGCGUAAAGAGCGUGUAGGCGGCCCGAUAAGUCCGCUGUGAAAGUCCAGGGCUCAACCCUGGGAUGCCGGUGGAUACUGUCGGGCUCGAGUCCGGAAGAGGAGUGUGGAAUUCCCGGUGUAGCGGUGAAAUGCGCAGAUAUCAGGAGGAACACCAAUGGCGAAGGCAGCACUCUGGGACGUGACUGACGCUGAGACGCGAAAGCGUGGGGAGCAAACAGG
rnacentral:rRNA from 1 species